rnacentral:rRNA from 1 species
UCUACGGGGGGCAGCAGUGGGGAAUAUUGGACAAUGGGGGCAACCCUGAUCCAGCCAUGCCGCGUGUGUGAAGAAGGCCCUCGGGUUGUAAAGCACUUUCAGUGAGGAAGAACGCCUGGUGGUUAAUACCCAUCAGGAAAGACAUCACUCACAGAAGAAGCACCGGCUAACUCCGUGCCAGCAGCCGCGGUAAUACGGAGGGUGCGAGCGUUAAUCGGAAUUACUGUGCGUAAAGCGCGCGUAGGUGGCUUGAUAAGCCGGUUGUGAAAGCCCCGGGCUCAACCUGGGAACGGCAUCCGGAACUGUCAAGCUAGAGUGCAGGAGAGGAAGGUAGAAUUCCCGGUGUAGCGGUGAAAUGCGUAGAGAUCGGGAGGAAUACCAGUGGCGAAGGCGGCCUUCUGGACUGACACUGACACUGAGGUGCGAAAGCGUGGGUAGCAAACAGGAUUAGAUACCCCUGUAGUC